CAUCACUGCUGAUGUCACCAAAGGUACAAAUACAGGAAGUGUUGCACCUCUUGCUCCUUUAGUACCUGCAACACAUGGUGGGAAAGUGAUCAGCUGUGACUGGCUCCAGCCCCCAGACGACCUUCAGAUUAUAAAUGUUAUAGAUUGAUGGAUGGAUGUGGUUUCUGACUGGACAGAUUCGAAAACAGAAUAAAUCUAUAUUCAUGGAUUUGGAGCUCAGCCAAUCAUUCAAGGAUUUCCACAGGUUUUGGUGUUUUCAUGUCACAGGAGUGAAACAGCUGAGGCCAGAUGCGAGUGAGCUGACAGUCAACUGAACUGUGACAUGAAAAGGCUAGUGCACUGAGGAAGGCAUGAACACCUGGGAGUAUGACUGACUGAAUGGUUCUUGUCAUGGGUUUGCCAGUUGCUGACCACCAUUAAGGAAACACAUAGCCAGUGUGGAGCUGAUAAGAUGAAUGCUUUACAAGAUGGGUUCCACAGACCAACAGACAUUUGCGGAAUUGUCAUUUGAUAUAUUCCCUUUCAUAACUGUAUUUCCGAUUAUUUGUGUUUAUUUAGACACUGUGUUUUUAAAUGUACAUACAUUCGUGAAUAAAAUGAUGCAUGACGA